GUCGAACGAGAAAGCCGCUUUCGAGUGGUGAGUACAGUGGCGGACGGGUGAGUAACACGUGGGCAACUUGCCCCUGGGUUGGGGAUAACACUUCUAACGGAGUGCUAAUACCGAAUGACAUAACAGGUUUAUGACUCGUUAUUAAAGAUGGCCUCUACUUGUAAGCUGUCGCCUAGGGAUGGGCCCGCGUCGUAUUAGCUAGUUGGUGGGGUAAUGGCCUACCAAGGCGACGAUGCGUAGCCGGCCUGAGAGGGUGAACGGUCACACUGGCACUGAGACAAGGGCCAGUCUCCUACGGGAGCCAGCAGUCUAUAAAUUUGCACAAUCGCCGAAAGGCGGAUGCAGCGACACCACGUGGAGGAUGAAGCCGUUCGCGGUGUAAACUCCUGUCAGAAGGGAAGAAGGUACGGCCGCUAAUAUCGGUCGUUACUUGACGGUACCUUCAAAGGAAGCUCCGGCUAACUACGUGCCAGCAGCCGCGGUAAUACGUAGGGAGCGAGCGUUGUUCGGAUUUACUGGGCGUAAAGAGCAUGUAGGCGGGUAUGCAAGUCAGUUGUGAAAUCCUCUGGCUCAACCAGAGAACUGCAGCUGAAACUGUAUACCUUGAGUCCAACAGAGGGAAUCGGAAUCAAAGGUGUAGCGGUGAAAUGCGUAGAUAUCUUUGAGAACACCAGUGGCGAAGGCGGAUUCCUGGGUUGGUACUGACGCUGAGAUGCGAAAGCUAGGGGAGCGAACAGGAUUAGAUACCCUGGUAGUCCUAGCCGUAAACGAUGGGUACUAGGUGUUGGGGGACAUUGACCCCCUCAGUGCCGUAGCUAACGCAUUAAGUACCCCGCCUGGGGAGUACGGCCGCAAGGCUGAAACUCAAAGGAAUUGACGGGGACCCGCACAAGCAGUGAGCAUGUUGCUUAAUUCGAUGCAACGCGAAGAACCUUACCAGGGCUUGACAUCCGAGGAAUAUCUUGCAAACAGAGGGUGCCUUCGGGAACCUCGAGACAGGUGCUGCAUGCUGUCGUCAGCUCGUGUCGUGAGAUGUUGGAUAGUCCCGCACGAGCGCACCCCUGUCAUAGCUGCAUCAGUAUGCUGGACUCUAAGGAACAGUCUGUGACAGCAGAGAGGUGGAUGACGUCAGUCAUCAUGGCGACUCUACGUCUGGGGCGGCAACCGUGUCAAAAUGGCUUGUUACAAGGGGCUGCGAAAUUCGUCGGAGGUUGCUAACUCAAAUUCG
rnacentral:rRNA from 1 species